GAUGAACGCUAGCGGCAGGCUUAACACAUGCAAGUCGAGGGGCAGCACGUCUUCGGAUGGUGGCGACCGGCGCGCGGGUGAGUAACGCGUAUGCAAUCUACCUUUUACAGGGGCAUAGCCCGGGGAAACCCGGAUUAAUAUCCUAUAGUACCAUUAUAUAGCAUUAUAUUAUGGUUAAAGUUUCGGCGGUAAAAGAUGAGCAUGCGUCCUAUUAGCUUGAUGGUAAGGUAACGGCUUACCAUGGCUAUGAUAGGUAGGGGUCCUGAGAGGGAGACCCCCCACACUGGUACUGAGACACGGACCAGACUCCUACGGGAGGCAGCAGUGAGGAAUAUUGGACAAUGGGCGCAAGCCUGAUCCAGCCAUGCCGCGUGCAGGAAGACGGCCCUAUGGGUUGUAAACUGCUUUUUAUACGGGAAGAAACACCCCUUCGUGAAGGGACUUGACGGUACCGUAUGAAUAAGGAUCGGCUAACUCCGUGCCAGCAGCCGCGGUAAUACGGAGGAU
rnacentral:rRNA from 1 species